UACGGAGGAUGCGAGCGUUAUCCGGAUUUAUUGGGUUUAAAGGGUGCGUAGGCGGAUUUUUAAGUCAGCGGUAAAAUGUCCGGGCUCAACCCGGGCCGGCCGUUGAAACUGGGGAUCUUGAGUGGGCGAGAAGUAUGCGGAAUGCGUGGUGUAGCGGUGAAAUGCUUAGAUAUCACGAAGAACUCCGAUUGCGAAGGCAGCCUGCUGGACUGUAACUGACGCUGAUGCUCGAAAGUGUGGGUAUCAAACAGG
rnacentral:rRNA from 1 species